AACGAACGCUGGCGGCAUGCCUAACACAUGCAAGUCGAACGAAGUCUUCGGACUUAGUCGCGCACGGGUGCGUAACGCGUGGGAAUCUGCCCUUGGGUGCGGAAUAACCCAGAGCAAUCUGUGCUAAUACCGCAUACUGUCGCAAGACCAAAGAUUUAUCGCCCAAGGAUGAGCCCGUGUAAGAUUAGCCAGUUGGUGAGGUAAAAGCUCAGCAAGGUGACGAUCUUUAGCUGGUCUGAGAGGAUGAUCAGACACACUGGGACUGAGACACGGCCCAGACUCCUAAGGGAGGAAGCAGUGGGGAAUAUUGGACAAUAGGCGAAAGCCUGAUCCAGCAAUGAUGCGUGAGUGAUGAAGGCCUUAGGGUUGUAAAGCUCUUUUACCCGGGAUGAUAAUGACAGUACCGGGAGAAUAAGCUCCGGCUAACUCCGUGCCAGCCGCCGCGGUAAAAC
rnacentral:rRNA from 1 species